rnacentral:rRNA from 1 species
UACGUAGGUGGCAAGCGUUGUCCGGAUUUACUGGGCGUAAAGAGCGCGCAGGCGGUCGGAUCAGUCGAAUGUGAAAGCCCCCGGCUCAACUGGGGAGGGUCAUUCGAUACUGUCCGACUCGAAGGCAGGAGAGGGAAGCGGAAUUCCCGGUGUAGUGGUGAAAUGCGUAGAUAUGCGGAGGAACACCGAUGGCGAAGGCAAUCCCCUGGGCCUGCACUGACGCUCAUGCACGAAAGCGUGGGGAGCAAACAGG